GUGCCACUAUGUGCCAGUUUGUGUGUGUGUGUGUGUGUGUAUCUGUGUGUCAGAUACAUACACACACACACACACACACACACACACAGAUACAUAUU